UUUGUUUCGUUUGUGAACGCCCUGCAGACUGUCUGCAAAGCAGUCGACAAGGUAUUAGGAAAGCUUUUUCUCGAUUUAUGCAUUGCGAACAAAACGGACUUGAAGAUACACAGUUUGACCCUUAACGUCGUCUAAACCAUUUAAACCAUUUGUAUAUACGCUACGUGGAUCCUAAAGCGAGUAUUUGCUUUGGCCAAAGCAUUAAGGUGUGUCAAAAUUGUGUUAAAUCGUACUCGUCAUAAGUGACAUAAUCGUUUGAGCUAUAAGGUGACAUGACCAUUGUUGUGCUUAAGGAUAUCAUAUACGUUAGAGAUGAAAGCUAAAAAUAUGGACGUCGUUAAUCGUCUCAGAAGUCCUAGGUGCGUGGGAUUCAACAGAAUCAUCACAAAUACGUUGACCAUGUCUUUUAGAAUCAUAUAUAUCAAGCGCGACGAGCAGCAUGUAGCUGAUUUUAACCUCUGCAUACAUGCAUUGCUCUGUGCAUCAGCUGAAGCCCAAAGUUCCACGAUGGCAUGAUGCACUGAUUUGCUGAUCGGCUGGAUUACAGCCUCAGUGAAGUCCUCGCUUACUUCAGCUAGCGAACAUUUUCAAGGCCAAUUAGCUUACAAGGGAAACGUUAUCGAUUUAGACCUGUUCUCGGCUCUUGUAUUCAAGCAGUCCCAUCUGAUGAGGUGGUUCCAGCAAAGCUUCUUCCCUCAUCACUCACCUCGAUGUUCAGCCAGUAACUUAUUCUGUGAUCCAUUGCUCGUGAUAGCCAGAUGGACCUCUUGGGUCUCGGUACUUUUCUCGAUGCCAUGGGUGCAGCUGUUGCUGUUACAGACGCAUACAAAACGCCUUUACUCGGACGCUAAAGACUGUCGGCCUGGCAUCUCUAACAAAAGGCUCACGGUGCACAGAAGACAUCAAACUUGGCUAUACACGGACGAGCGUGCUAAUGGCAAACAGCUACUGUAUGAGUGACGAGAAGUCAUUCUUACUCCUACCGAACAAACAUACAUUGGAUGAUUGUAGUCCCUUAGGGACAGCGUGGGCGUGAUAGCUGCAUUUCCACUGUAAAACCUGACAAGUGAUUUUGAUUUAUUAUUGCAAUGGAGAAAACGGCAGCGACAAGACGGGUAGCACCGUUGGAUUAUACGGGCGUUAUUGUCUGUUUUAUAAAGCAGAAAACCACGUCCGCCAUCUUCGAUUUGCGUUUUUUUUCAUACCUUAUGACCUUCUGAAACGGGGCUGGAAAAAGGAAAAGCUCGAGGCCUCCCGAGAAAUAUCUGCGCUUCUAUGGAAUAACACUAGAUCUACGCACCCAAUGUCUAGCUAGCGGUACGAACAUGAGCUACCAAGAUUUUAACAAGAAGUGAGACGUAGAUGUACGCGGAGAAAGGGGCAUAAUCCUAAAGACCACCUUUGUGAGAUUAACACAGCAUCACAGGGUGUACUUCAGCCACUUAAAGCGAAACCAAAGUAUAACUGAGAGAGACUAUUUCUACUACACCAGCCCCACUAAAGGGACUGCACCACCAAGGUCUGCUCUCGUUCGUCACUGUCUGAAAAAUUCCCAGACCAGCAGCAAAUAGGGUCCACGGGCUGGCAACGGCCGCUAGCUGCUUGGUGGUAUUGGAGAGCGAAGUGAGAUCGAAUUCUCGAAGGCUAAGAAGGGCCUGGCCAGGCUUUGUCGAGGAGCCGUCGACGGCUCUUGCAGCUCUUUAGGCCUUGCGUACAGGUGUGUAGACAGCUGACGGGCGGGACAAGAUCUAUACACACCUUUUCCUGUAAGCUUCCAUCUAACAUCAGAAAAUCAUGCUUUCUAUCAGCACCACUACAACCCCUAUGUGUCUUGUAAACCGCGUGAGUGCCGUUCGACUACACAAACGCAAUUUCCAAUGAGCGCCUAGAAUAAACGUUGAGGAAAAAGAGCUCGUGGAAACAAGAGGUCGGGCAGCAUUAGGGCGGACCGCGUACCUUGGCGUUAAAAUCGACAGCGAAACGAAUCAGGCGGACAGCUGAUUAAAUGAAGAGCUGCGUUCAGCUGGUUUGAGUUGCGAAUAAAAACUCGUCCAUGCCACUAAGACUGUACUACGUACUGCGAUUCGAACCAAUAAAAUAGCAAAACUCCACCGUUUUUUAGAUGCAAACGGCAGUUUGUAUAGUUAUCCAUACAAGGAGCAUGGGUAGGACAUUGCAGAAGCUUAGCUCCACCUGCCAUUGGAGGACGAGGAGGGUCACACUAUCAUAAGUUUUACACUUCAGACUCAUGGCAUCACUAGAGCAAUCAUUAAGCAAAGUGGAAGUUUCUCGCACAGAACAAACCAGUAUGUAGUAAUACAAGCGAUUAGAAGGUUGUUAAAAGAAUGAUUUCGUACUGUACUCAUUUUGUUUAAAUAAUUGUCACGAGUAGCGGCUCACACACAGAGAGAGCUAUUAAAAAUAAAUAAAUCGAAAAAAGAAACAAAAGGUUUCUAUGCGUAGGGAGACGAAUUAAAGGUCAUAAAGAUCAUGGAGUACAAGGAGCUGACUUUUACGAACAGAAAUUGGUCAUCGAUACGCCGAGUUAAAUUCUGUGUUUUCCUAGGCAAAGUAUUCGACUAUUGGCCGGAUUUGCUGAUUAAAUUUAAUGCUACUACCAUCAAUGUAGAUCACACAGAAAAAUCGAUGUUCGAUGGAUAAAAUAACGAUGACCGGACGAAACAAGUCUACUUAAUUUUUAGAAAUAUGUCAAAGAAUUCGCGUUGAAAAUUGGGUAGGUGUGCAAGGCGGCAUAGACGCAUGCUGGAAAAAAAUAGCCGAAGAUAUAGGCGAGAGUAAUUUCGAUAUAGAAACGUAGUGAAUGAGCCGAAGAAGCGUCAGCAUCUCCCCGAACAUCCAACUGCAACUAUCUGAAAGUGCAAAUAAAAGAACUGCGAGUGCGACUGGCUAUGCAGAGUAUCCCUUUGAGAAUUUUAAGCAAGAA
rnacentral:lncRNA from 11 species